ACGGGUGAGUAACGCGUGAGCAACCUGCCUUUCAGAGGGGGAUAACGUUUGGAAACGAACGCUAAUACCGCAUGAUAUUAUUGAGCUGCAUGGCUUGAUAAUCAAAGGAGCAAUCCGCUGAAAGAUGGGCUCGCGUCCGAUUAGGUAGUUGGCGGGGCAACGGCCCACCAAGCCGACGAUCGGUAGCCGGACUGAGAGGUUGAACGGCCACAUUGGGACUGAGACACGGCCCAGACUCCUACGGGAGGCAGCAGUGAGGGAUAUUGGUCAAUGGGGGAAACCCUGAACCAGCAACGCCGCGUGAGGGAAGACGGUUUUCGGAUUGUAAGCCUCUGUCCUCUGUGAAGAUGAUGACGGUAGCAGAGGAGGAAGCUCCGGCUAACUACGUGCCAGCAGCCGCGGUAAUACGUAGGGAGCAAGCGUUGUCCGGAUUUACUGGGUGUAAAGGGUGCGUAGGCGGCUUUGCAAGUCAGAAGUGAAAUCCAUGGGCUUAACCCAUGAACUGCUUUUGAAACUGCAGAGCUUGAGUGGAGUAGAGGUAGGCGGAAUUCCCGGUGUAGCGGUGAAAUGCGUAGAGAUCGGGAGGAACACCAGUGGCGAAGGCGGCCUGCUGGGCUCUAACUGACGCUGAGGCACGAAAGCGUGGGUAGCAAACAGGAUUAGAUACCCUGGUAGUCCACGCUGUAAACGAUGAUUACUAGGUGUGGGUGGACUGACCCCAUCCGUGCCGGAGUUAACA
rnacentral:rRNA from 1 species